GAGGGUGUCCGGCCACACUGGGACUGAGAUACGGCCCAGAUUCCUACGGGAGGCAGCAGUCGAGAAGCUUCCGCAAUGGGGGAAACCCUGACGGAGCGACGCCGCGUGAGCGAAGAAGGUCCUAUGGAUUGUAAAGCUCUGUCAGAUUGGGAAGAAAAUUCCGCGGUUAAUACCCGUGGGACUUGACGGUACCAUCAGAGGAAGCACCGGCUAACUCCGUGCCAGCAGCCGCGGUAAUACGGAGGGUGCAAGCGUUGUUCGGAUUCACUGGGUAUAAAGGGUGCGCAGGCGGCCUGGUAAGUCAGGGGUGAAAUAUGACGGCUCAACCGUCAAACUGCCCCUGAAACUGUCAGGCUUGAGUCCGGGAGAGGUUGGUGGAAUUCCAGGUGUAGCGGUGAAAUGCGUAAAUAUCUGGAGGAACACCGGUGGCGAAGGCGGCCAACUGGCCCGGUACUGACGCUCAGGCACGAAAGCUAGGGGAGCGAACGGGAUUAGAUACCCCGGUAGUCCUAGCCGUAAACGAUGGGCACUAGGUGUUGGAGGAGUCUACCCCUUCAGUGCCGCAGCUAAUGCAUUAAGUGCCCCACCUGGGGAGUACGAUCGCAAGGUUGAAACUCAAAGGAAUUGACGGGGGCCCGCACAAGCGGUGGAGCAUGUGGUUUAAUUCGACGCAACGCGAAGAACCUUACCUGGGCUUGACAUGCAGGGGACAGGUGUAGAAAUACAUCCUUCUUCGGACUCCUGUACAGGUGCUGCAUGGCUGUCGUCAGCUCGUGUCGUGAAAUGUUAGGUUAAGUCCUGCAACGAGCGCAACCCCUGUCUUUAGUUGCCAUCAGGUUAUGCUGGGGACUCUAGAGAGACUGCCGGUGACAAACCGGAGGAAGGUGGGGACGACGUCAAGUCAUCAUGGCCCUUACGCCCAGGGCUACACACGUGCUACAAUGGUCGGUACAGUGGGCUGCAAUACAGUGAUGUGGAGCGAAUCCCAAAAAGCCGGCCUCAGUUCGGAUCGUAGUCUGCAACUCGACUACGUGAAGUUGGAAUCGCUAGUAAUCGCGUAUCAGAACGACGCGGUGAAUACGUUCCCGGGCCUUGUACACACCGCCCGUCAAGUCAACCGAGUUGGUUGCACCCCAAGUCGCUGAGCUAACCUCUUCGGAGGAGGCAAGUGCCCAAGGUGUGAUUAGCGAGGGGGACUAAGUCGGAACAAGGUA
rnacentral:rRNA from 1 species